rnacentral:rRNA from 1 species
AUUGAACGCUGGCGGCAGGCUUAACACAUGCAAGUCGAGCGGGGAAGGGUAGCUUGCUACCUGACCUAGCGGCGGACGGGUGAGUAAUGCUUAGGAAUCUGCCUAUUAGUGGGGGACAACAUUCCGAAAGGAAUGCUAAUACCGCAUACGCCCUACGAGGGAAAGCAGGGGAUCUUCGGACCUUGCGUUAAUAGAUGAGCCUAAGUCGGAUUAGCUAGUUGGUGGGGUAAAGGCCUACCAAGGCGACGAUCUGUAGCGGGUCUGAGAGGAUGAUCCGCCACACUGGGACUGAGACACGGCCCAGACUCCUACGGGAGGCAGCAGUGGGGAAUAUUGGACAAUGGGGGGAACCCUGAUCCAGCCAUGCCGCGUGUGUGAAGAAGGCCUUAUGGUUGUAAAGCACUUUAAGCGAGGAGGAGGCUUCUUUGGUUAAUACCCAAAGUAAGUGGACGUUACUCGCAGAAUAAGCACCGGCUAACUCUGUGCCAGCAGCCGCCGUAACAC